rnacentral:rRNA from 1 species
AGCGGCGUACGGGCGCGGAACACGUGUGCACUGCUUUAUCUGGGGGAUAGCCUUUCGAAAGGAAGAUUAAUACCCCAUAAUAUGUUGAAUGGCAUCAUUCGACAUUGAAAACUCCGGUGGAUAGAGAUGGGCACGCGCAAGAUUAGAUAGUUGGUGAGGUAACGGCUCACCAAGUCUACGAUCUUUAGGGGGGCCUGAGAGGGUGAUCCCCCACACUGGUACUGAGUCACGGACCAGACUCCUACGGGAGGCAGCAGUGAGGAAUAUUGGACAAUGGGUGAGAGCCUGAUCCAGCCAUCCCGCGUGAAGGACGACUGCCCUAUGGGUUGUAAACUUCUUUUGUAUAGGGAUAAACCUACCCUCGUGAGGGUAGCUGAAGGUACUAUACGAAUAAGCACCGGUUAACUCCGUGCCAGCAAGCCGCGGUAAUACGGAGGGUGCAAGCGUUAUCCGGAUUCAUGGGUUAAAGGGGUCCGUAGGCGGGAAUCUGUAAAGUCAAGUGGUGAACUCUCACAGGUUUUAAUGUGAAAUUGCCAUUGAUACUGCAGGUCCUCGAAGUGUCGGUGAAUAGCUGGGAAUAAAGUAAUGGAAGGGAGAAAC